rnacentral:lncRNA from 1 species
CUUGAAGCUGAAAAGAGGAGGAGGAAGGGCAGAUUAAAAAUAAAACAUGCACUGUUCCUUGUGGUGGCAGCAACUUAGGGCAGGUGGGCCCUUCGAACUUGGGAUGCUCUGCAUGGUCCAGCAGCCACAUUGGGUGGAGCUGUGUGCAGCCAUGGGAACGCACAGAACACCUCAUCUCCUGCUGCCACUGCUUCAGAAAGAAGAAAUGAGAAAGGCAAAACCAGCUGAAUCCUCUGUUUGUCUGCUCUCAGCGUGGGCAAUGUAG